rnacentral:rRNA from 1 species
AAUUGAAGAGUUUGAUCAUGGCUCAGAUUGAACGCUGGCGGCAGGCCUAACACAUGCAAGUCGAACGGUAACAGGAAGCAGCUUGCUGCUUUGCUGACGAGUGGCGGACGGGUGAGUAAUGUCUGGGAAACUGCCUGAUGGAGGGGGAUAACUACUGGAAACGGUGGCUAAUACCGCAUAACGUCGCAAGACCAAAGAGGGGGACCUUCGGGCCUCUUGCCAUCAGA